GAUGAAGAACGUAGCGAAAUGCGAUAAGUAAUGUGAAUUGCAGAAUUCAGUGAAUCAUCGAAUCUUUGAACGCACAUUGCGCCCGCCAGUAUUCUGGCGGGCAUGCCUGUUCGAGCGUCAUUACAACCCUCAGGCCUCCGGGCCUGGCGUUGGGGAUCGGCGGAGCCCCCCGUGGGCACACGCCGUCCCCCAAAUACAGUGGCGGUCCCGCCGCAGCUACCGUUGCGUAGUAGCUAACACCUCGCAACUGGAGAGCGGCGCGGCCACGCCGUAAAACACCCAACUUCUGAAUGUUGACCUCGAAUCAGGUAGGAAUACCCGCUGAACUUAAGCAUAUCAAUAAGCGGAGGA
rnacentral:misc_RNA from 1 species